AUUGAACGCUGGCGGCAGGCCUAACACAUGCAAGUCGAACGGUAACAGGAAGAAGCUUGCUUCUUUGCUGACGAGUGGCGGACGGGUGAGUAAUGUCUGGGAAACUGCCUGAUGGAGGGGGAUAACUACUGGAAACGGUAGCUAAUACCGCAUAACGUCGCAAGACCAAAGAGGGGGACCUUCGGGCCUCUUGCCAUCGGAUGUGCCCAGAUGGGAUUAGCUAGUAGGUGGGGUAACGGCUCACCUAGGCGACGACCCCUAGCUGGUCUGAGAGGAUGACCGGCGACACUGGAACUGAGACACGGUCCAGACUCCUACGGGAGGCAGCAGUGGGGAAUAUUGCACAAUGGGCGCAAGCCUGAUGCAGCCAUGCCGCGUGUAUGAAGAAGGCCUUCGGGUUGUAAAGUACUUUCAGCGGGGAGGAAGGGAGUAAAGUUAAUACCUUGGCUGAUUGACGUUACCCGCAGAAGAAGCACCGGCUAACUCCGUG
rnacentral:rRNA from 1 species